UUCUCCCUAGUCGGAUUUUUGUAGUACUUUGUAGCAAGGAUAGACAAUGAAAAGAGUCACCUUAUUCAACAAAAAUCCGACUAGGGAGAAGCAACGGCUGCAAAUAAGCAAGUUACAUAAGAAUCCUUCCUGUUUACAUGUCCAUAUAGAAGCAGUUGCAGAAAAGAAGACUAAUAACUCAAUUUCUUCCUUCUAGGCAAAACUGAUAUAGCAGAGCAAUCAUCUACUUCUCUGACGCCAUAUCAGUUGAUGAACCUAUAUGUAUGCCUGAUCUUGCGCAGACUUCGCUUGAAGGUCCAGUACUAGGACAAUAUCAUAGCUGUAUGGCAGCUGAAAAACAUGACAAUUGGCAGCAAUAAUUCCUCAUUUUUAUCAGUGGUAACUGGCGGCUAUGAAUGUCUGAAACUCUCGCAGCCUGGGCAGUUAUGCAAGCUCUCAUGAAUGUAAAUAUCACAAUCAACACAGAAGUACUGUUUGCAUUUUGGGCAAACAACAGAAAGGCCAGGCUUGUUGCCAGGAUUGAGGAGGCUCUGUUGGCAGCCAAAACAAGUUUUC
rnacentral:misc_RNA from 1 species